AAGAGAGGCCCUCAGCUGGGGAUACCAACAAUGCAGAACCUCCUCCUGUGGAAGAUUAGAAAUGAAUCAUGUUGAAACACAGAGAAACAUAUGGUCUCAUACCUGAUACCAAUACAAACAACAAAUCAUUAUUCUUCAACACCUUCAUAGAUUGUGUACCGUUUCAAGAACUGAUCAGACAAGCUAUACUGUGCCAUCACUCCGUGAGGUAUGGAUAUGACUCCUUUUGUGGUAUGCUGACCAAUAAUCUUGUCUAUUUGCAGAGCCAUUGCCAAAACAGCCUUUCCAAAUCCUAAAUCCAGGAACUCGGGUUGUAUCAUUGUAAACUAAAUUUAUACCAAGAAAGAGAAAUACCUAUAACAUGGCAAUUCCUGUCAAUUGCAAGCUCUAGUUCUCCUUGAAUGUGAACUAAAUUGUCUAAAUACUUGAUUGCUUGGUUUACAAGGAAGCCAGGCCUCACAGCAUCGACAGCUGCUUUAUAGAUGAGUCUCAUCUCAUUCAUGACACUCAUCGUCUCACGGCUGAUAAACAUGUUUUUCAAGUGAACAGUAACAUAUUCUUAUUGAAAUGUGCAACCAGAAAUAUAUAUAAGGCAUUUUUAAAGCGUC